rnacentral:rRNA from 1 species
UACGUAGGGGGCUAGCGUUGUCCGGAAUCAUUGGGCGUAAAGAGCGUGUAGGCGGCCCGGUAAGUCCGCUGUGAAAGUCGGGGGCUCAACCCUCGAAUGCCGGUGGAUACUGUCGGGCUAGAGUGCGGAAGAGGCGAGUGGAAUUCCUGGUGUAGCAGUGGAAUGCGCAGAUAUCAGGAGGAACACCGAUUGCGAAGGCAGCUCGCUGGGACGUCACUGACGCUGAGACGCGAAAGCGUGGGGAGCAAACAGG